rnacentral:lncRNA from 1 species
CGUACCCAGGGUACGUUCCGGCAGUACCCAGGGGGACAUAGACCCUAUGAGCCUUGCUGGCUGCAUCUUACUUACGUGUCUGCUUGCUAUGAUUUACAGGCAGCUCUACUUAAUGAUUGUCGCGAUGGCACCUUCUAAAAUACUAUGCUUAGCACCGGAGCGUCGCGGUGUCGACAGUUUGGCGUGUCUGCGGGGAGCACAGGUAUAAACUGAUGUAGUUUGACCGACCAAGCAACAAUGUACAUGUUAGUCAUGGUUUACUUCAAUCGGGUCAGAUGGGUCUGUGGUGAGUAAACUGUGUGAGGAGAGGCACAGAGUAAACAUCAGCUACAUGGAGAGAUUGCUACUAGUAACUGCAGAAUGUUUGUGACUUUCUAGGUUUGUGUGGGUGCGACUUUCCGGGAGUGUGAAUUGUUAAUCGAAAUUGAGAUUUUUAUUGCCAAAUUAAUUAGGACUAAAUUCGAUUAUUGAUGUGCUGACAUAUCGCAGUCAACAAGUCUGAUUACGGGAAUGAAUUUAAUAUUAAAUUAAUAAAAUAAAAUAAGGUUUAUAUUAAUCUCCGAAUAGACAGAAUUUUGAUUAAAAAAUAAACGUGCACCACGUAUAAAACUCAUAGGUUUAGAUGUGUUGUGUAAAUGCUACUGUUAUGGAACAUGAUUCAAGGGAGCUAGCUAGCUUCUUCACUCAGCUAAUAAAGCUAAAUUUCUAGUAAACCUUUUCAAAGCAAAUCUUGAAACCAAGGAAUAGAUACCAUUCGAUUUCGUGUGUUCUUGUGUUAAGAAACAUACAAGCGUAUUUACUAUUUAGUACAUGCAUUUCAUUUCAUCGAGAGCUAUCUAGUUGUGUUUAGCAUCUUUAGCAUUUCUAACGAAGAAAACCUUAUUGUAAUCUAACCUAUGAACUGCAAAUACUGUAAAUAUCGUUGUUCUUAAUUUGUAGAAUGGAACUAAAAUGUGAUUAUUCACUGGUAUAGCUUAAAUAAGCGUUCAGUCCACAUAAGACGCUACUGUAAAAUAUAACAUUUAUGGUACAUCGUAAAUAUAACCACUGAUUUGUUUCAUGUUGCACGAGUGUAGUCAUAACCAAUUCGGAUAAUCAUGCGCUCGCUACGUACGUUCAUGGUAGGCAACUUUAUGAGGCCAUUGUAAAGUCAAUGCUCGUUCGGUUGACCGUGGGACACCGCUCUUGUAAAGGCAAAUGGAGGCAUAGUAAGUGUAACCUUGGUCGUAAUGAGCCGAAAUGUAGAAGCAGGUGUGCUUUGAAGGAUCUCUAACCCUCUAUCUGACAUGCAUCCUAUUAGGACAGCCUGGUUAGAGCAAACAGCUACGUCGCAAGGACCGUAGAUGGCGGCCAUGCUCGCGAGUGAAUGUGCAAAAACACGCAAUCUGCUGCAUUUUUAGAUUCGCAAGAUUACGUUACUAUAUUACGCAUACGCAGCGCGUAGCCUUUCACUGAAUCAAACCAUCGCUGUGUGCGUACGAACGUGACGGUGGUUGUGGUGGGGUGGAAGGUGGGGUGUAUUUGCUUUUGGCGUUUCCGGCACCGGUGUAUUGUAAUUCUGUCAUAUGUGUUUGUUAUCACAGUGAAGUUUGCAAGUGUGAAUGUUAAAAUUCUCGUGAAUUUAUUAGGAAAUUUAUCACGCUGUUGUGCUGUGUCGUUCUCCUGCAUAAAUACACGCGGAACUCGAUCGUUG